GACGAACGCUGGCGGCGUGCUUAACACAUGCAAGUCGAACGGUAAGGCCUGGUACUUGUACGAAGCUGGUGUGCCGAGCAGGUGUGAGUAACGCGUGUAGACUGUGCUUGUGAUCGGGAGACAACAUGGAGAAUCGAAUGCUAAUACCACAUAAGAACCUUAAACAUAAGGGGGAAUGGUGAAAGUUGCCAUUGCAUCACGGAAAGAUGAUCUCGCGGUGUGUUAGCUAGGUGGUGAGGUAAAGGCGCAUCAAGGGGAUGAUACAUAGACGAAGUGAGAGGGUGAGCGGCCAGAUUGGGACUGAGACACGGCACAAACUCCUACGGGAGGCAGCAGUAGGGAAUCUUCGGCCAUGGGCGAAAGUCUGAGCGAGCAACGCCGCGUGAGUGAAGAAGGUUGUCGGGUCGUAAAACUCUGUUGGUAGAGAAGAAAGUGGGUGAGAGUGGAAAGCACAUCAAGUGACGGUAACUAGUCAGAAAGCAACGGCUAACUACGUG
rnacentral:rRNA from 1 species